rnacentral:rRNA from 1 species
UACGUAGGGUGCAAGCGUUAAUCGGAAUUACUGGGCGUAAAGCGUGCGCAGGCGGUUUUGUAAGUCUGUCGUGAAAUCCCCGGGCUCAACCUGGGAACUGCAUUUGUGACUGCAUCGCUGGAGUGCGGCAGAGGGGGAUGGAAUUCCGCGUGUAGCAGUGAAAUGCGUAGAUAUGCGGAGGAACACCGAUGGCGAAGGCAAUCCCCUGGGCCUGCACUGACGCUCAUGCACGAAAGCGUGGGGAGCAAACAGG